GGCCGCGGGAAUUCGAUUCAGGCCUAACACAUGCAAGUCGAACGCUUUUCUUUCACCGGGUGCUUGCACCCACCGAAAGUUAAGAGUGGCGGACGAAUGAGUAACACGUGGGUAACCUGCCCAUAAGUGGGGGAUAACAUCCGGAAACGGAUGCUAAUACCGCAUAUUUCUAAUUGUCUCCUGACGACUGGAAAAAAGGUGGCUUCGGCUACCGCUUAUGGAUGGACCCGCGGCGUAUUAGCUAGUUGGUGAGGUAAUGGCUCACCAAGGCGAUGAUACGUAGCCGACCUGAGAGGGUGAUCGGCCACACUGGGACUGAGACACGGCCCAGACUCCUACGGGAGGCAGCAGUAGGGAAUCUUCCGCAAUGGACGAAAGUCUGACGCUUCAAGGGCGCGUGAGUGAAGAAGGUUUUCGGA
rnacentral:rRNA from 1 species